ensembl:snoRNA
CACCACCACCCGGCUGAACCUAAACUAAGUUUAUUAGAAAGGGCUAAGUAGAACUGACUGUGGUGGCGAAACUGAGACACAGGCCGUGCUUCCAUCACAGCAGAUAAGUUACCGUGGUGACAAUGAGACCUGUAACAUUU